rnacentral:rRNA from 1 species
CGGCGAACGGCUGCGUAACACGUUGGUACCUACCCCGAACUCAGGGAUAACCAUCCGAAAGGAUGGCUAAUACCGGAUGGUCUCGCGAGAGUAAAGCUUCGGCGGUUCGGGAGGGGCCUGCGGCCUAUCAGAUAGUUGGUGAGGUAACGGCUCACCAAGUCUAUGACGGGUAGCUGAUCUGAGAGGAUGAUCAGCCAGAAUGGAACUGAGACACGGUCCAU